UCCGUGUCUGUGUUAGUCCUUCAGUGUCAAUUGUGUUUGUAAUUAUUCUAAACAAAAAUUUUUUGGUAAAUGCCAAUAGUAAAGUCAGAACUGCCUUGUAUCAACAUUUUGCCUAAUGUUUCCCAAUUUCUCAACCUCUUUACAUAUUCUUCUGAUUUAUUCACUCAAAUCGCCCUUGGUUUACUUUGGAAAUCUAGUCGACAAAUAUUUCCACUCGAUGGUUGGUACCCACCUUUAGGGUCAUCGCUACAAACCCUCAUUGGGUUCUAGAUGGUCCUCACUCAUAUUCAUAACACCCCAAAUAUCAUAUGAACAUCUUCAUCCCUUAAAAAUUCGUUAAAGAGCAUUUUCCCUUGAAAUUACAGUUAAAUAAAUUUUCACGGAUUUUUCAACAUAUUAAGCCAGAUUAGGAGUCCGUGAAAACACCUUUAAAAAAGUCCUUUGUUUACCAAGUGUACCGUUAUGUACCGAUGAUAAUCCUCAGUGGCUAGGGUCAUUAUAAAACCGUGAAAAUGCCCUUACAGGAUUAGUCCUAUAUAAGCCCCAUGUAAAUGUCCGUGAAACAUCUCUUAAAGAUCUUUUCACGGAGAAAUGGACUUUUAAUAAAAAUUUAAAGGAUCAGAUGUUCAUCAUUGUCGAAAUGCUGCUGUGAAGUUGAGUUGAAUAAAACCAAACUUGAAACUUUAAACAUAACCCCAACUUCAAUCCAUAUUUAAAUAUAAAUAGAUACUUUAUUGUUCAACAAUAGGAGGGACUUCUCUACACAAGUUCCAUUAAAGGGUAACAUUUUCAGUUGCUUAGGCAAAGGAUUCCAGUGCAGGGCUACACAUAAAACCAUGAUUAGGAGAGGCCAGGGACUGAAUAAGUUGAAACGGAGGGAAGGAGUUUUAGUUUUGCAAAAUAUAAACGGAUUAUUUAAAAGUAUCAUUUAUUGAUGUCCACUUGACUUGACCGAGCAUUUUUUUCCCCUAUGUCUUUACAUUCAAUUCAGGUUCUCGAUCUCUUUCUGUUGAAUUUAGUGUAAAAUCAAAAUAUUGGAUAUUAAAUUUGGUCUUUUGAAUUAUUUUUAUGGGGGGAGGGGGAGGCAGAGGCAGUGGGGCAAUUAACUGAAUGAUGGCCGGUUGUUGAGUUAACUGGUUGAUCUGAACUUUCUCUAUUGACACUUAAUUGUUUUAUGUGUACAUUUAUUUUUUUAAUUUAAGAUGUCAGUGCUUUUUUUAGUUUUACUCUAAAAAUACAUUCGAAACAUUCAAGUCAUUAACCUUUGAAUGACAUAACGAAAAAAAUCCCCCAGUGGCAUGUUGUGGCCAAAUAUACCAAUAAUUAAUUUCCAAAGCUUGAAUUAUUCUGGUGCAUCUUUUUGUCCCUUUUUUGUUAUAGAUGUGCAAAAACAACUCAAAAGUAAUUUUUGCAGAGGUUCGCAGAUGCCGAAAAUAGGGGAAUUUUUUUAUAUUUUAUUUAAUUGACUUUUAUUUUUUAACGUAGAACAUUCAACUUGAAAUUAUAUUUUCAGGAAGAGAAAUCAAAAUGUGUUGGAAGGCAUGGGGGAGGGCAACUUAUAACCAACAAAUAUUAUUUUAACAAAAACAGUUUUUUGUGAGAUGCUGUAAAACAAAAAUGAGUUAAAAUUUUCGUUUUUGUUAUGGCUGUAAAAAGUGAAGUGUGGUUUUAUAUUUUUUUCUGUGCCGUUUGUCAAAAACUUUUAGGACCAGUGAAGUGUUAUAGCGCCCUCUUGUGAACAAACUUUUAAGUUUACCACGUGUACCGGCUGCAAACUGGUUCCGGUCUCUCCAACAACGAUGAAAUCCUUCAAAUUUAUGGCAGGAACCAGUCUGGUUAAGUAACAGUUUAAUGCCGUGCGCUUACAUUGGUCUUUUGCUAUUUUGCCAUACUCGAGUUUUCUCCCGAGUUGAACAGCAGAAGGAGCAAUUUAAAGAAAAGGGAGAAUGGCACAAAGGCUACUGUCCACUGUCAUUUGCUGUGAAUUGCUUGACUGUGGUUGAAAGCUUCAAAUGAUAAAGAAAUCACGGUGCAUAAUCUUUAGCGAAGAUUUAUUUUUAUU
rnacentral:lncRNA from 1 species